rnacentral:rRNA from 1 species
UGGGGAAUAUUGCGCAAUGGGCGGAAGCCUGACGCAGCGACGCCGCGUGGGGGAUGACGGCCUUCGGGUUGUAAACCUCUUUCGACCGGGACGAAGCGUGAGUGACGGUACCGGUAGAAGAAGCACCGGCCAACUACGUGCCAGCAGCCGCGGUAAUACGUAGGGUGCGAGCGUUGUCCGGAAUUAUUGGGCGUAAAGAGCUCGUAGGCGGUGUGUCGCGUCGAUCGUGAAAACGUACAGCUUAACUGUGCGCGUGCGGUCGAUACGGGCAUCACUUGAGUUCGGCAGGGGAGACUGGAAUUCCUGGUGUAGCGGUGAAAUGCGCAGAUAUCAGGAGGAACACCGGUGGCGAAGGCGGGUCUCUGGGCCGAUACUGACGCUGAGGAGCGAAAGCGUGGGGAGCGAACAGGAUUAGAUACCCCCGUAGUCC